UGGCGGACGGGUGAGUAACGCGUGGGUAACCUGCCUUGUACUGGGGGACAACAGUUAGAAAUGACUGCUAAUACCGCAUAAGCGUACAGUAUCGCAUGAUACAGUGUGAAAAACUCCGGUGGUACAAGAUGGACCCGCGUCUGAUUAGCUAGUUGGUAAGGUAACGGCUUACCAAGGCGACGAUCAGUAGCCGACCUGAGAGGGUGACCGGCCACAUUGGGACUGAGACACGGCCCAA
rnacentral:rRNA from 1 species